rnacentral:tRNA from 1 species
AUUUACAUAGUAUAAAAAUUAUAAUUGACUUCCAAUCAAAAGAUCUAAAUAUAUUAGUGUAAAUA